AUGAACGCUAGCGGCAGGCUUAACACAUGCAAGUCAGGGGUAGAAGCAGCUUGCUGCUUUGAGACCGGCGGCACGGGUGCGUAACGCGUAUGCAAUCUACCUUUUACAGAGGGAUAGCCCACGAGAAAUUUGGAUUAAUACCUCAUAGUAUGUGAGAAUCGCAUGGUUUUCACAUUAAAGUUCCAACGGUAAAAGAUGAGCAUGCGUCCCAUUAGCUAGAUGGUAAGGUAACGGCUUACCAUGGCGACGAUGGGUAGGGGGUCCUGAGAGGGAGAUCCCCCACACUGGGACUGAGACACGGCCCAGACUCCUACGGGAGGCAGCAGUGGGGAAUUUUGGACAAUGGGGGCAACCCUGAUCCAGCAAUGCCGCGUGAGUGAAGAAGGCCUUCGGGUUGUAAAGCUCUUUUGUCAGGGAAGAAACAGCAGCUCUAACACAGUCUGCGAAUGACGGUACCUGAAGAAUAAGCACCGGCUAACUACGUG
rnacentral:rRNA from 1 species